UUUUUUCACGGUAAAAAGACCUAAUUUUUUUUUCUAUUUAAUGCAGGCAUGAGUUGGUCAAAAACAAAAAAAAUAUAUUAGGUUAUUUCAGAUUCUCAGAUGCUUAUUAAAACUAUUAUAUUGAAUCGACUGACUAUAAUUAUAUGGAGUUUCCUUGGAGAUUGUUUCAUUCAUCUACUUUACAUUUGAGGGUGUAUCCACGCGCCAUGAUUGCGAGUGGUCGACAAUGAAUAUUAACCAUAUCCACUAAAAAUUGAAAGGAGAAUAAAAUUAAAGAGUGACGUAAAAGCCAGGAUUGUUUCAGUGUGAUUCACCCCAACGUGGUAUUUUACGUAUCGACCGUAGAUCUUAGGAAAGUCAACAAAGUAUGGUUAUCUAACGAUGAGGUCUAUGUAAAAUAUGGAAAGGCAGAUAUGUUUCGAGAACAACAACUUUUAGUGAAAGACAAACGGAGAACAAUCUGGUCUGCUGCUAAAGAAAUUUUACACACAAAAAUUAAAAUAAAUAAAACAGAAAUGCGAAAAAGAGGAGACCUUUGUGGCUUUGUCUAAUUGCCUCCACUGACUCCUGAAAAAAAGAAAAAAAAAACGCGAUAAAAGCAGAGAAAUUCAGUUCACCGACUAAGGAAGUCUCCGUUGAAAAUCCGAUGCAAUCCACUGACGGAGACGGCGGUGAAGGAGGGAGUGGAGAGGGGAACCGAGGUGGGUUAUCUAGGAUCCGUUCAGCUCCCGCGACUUGGAUUGAAACCCUACUCGUGGAUGAUGAGGAAGACGAUUUGAAACCUAACCUCUGUUUGACUGAGCUUCUUACCGGAAGCUCGGCUCGUGACUCAUUUGAGUUCCCGAGCUCCGCUGAGCAGGGAUUGUACAAUCACCAAGGUGGUGGCUUUCACCGUCAAAAUAGCACUCCGGCGGAUUUUCUCAGUGGCUCUGGAGCUGGGACUGAUGGGUAUUUCUCAAAUUUUGGGAUUCCGGCGAAUUACGACUACUUGCCGCCGAACGUUGACAUUUCUCCGGCGAGUAAACGGUCGAGGGAAAUUGAAGCUCAGUUCUCUUCUCAGAUGAAAGAAGAGCAAAUGAGUGGUGGUGUAUCAGGAAUGAUGGAUAUCAACAUGGAUAAGCUACUUGAGGACUCGGUUCCUUGUAGGGUUCGUGCUAAACGCGGUUGUGCAACUCAUCCUCGUAGCAUUGCUGAACGGGUGAGGAGAACGCGAAUAAGUGAUCGGAUCAGGAGGCUGCAAGAACUUGUUCCUAACAUGGAUAAGGUAGUUUUCUAUUGCAGCGCAUAUUAAUUUCCAAAAUUUGGUAAUAAUCACGAAAUGGGGCCAAGAAUGCUUAGAGCUUAUGGUAAGAAGUAGCGCUCUUACUAAGCUUAGCUGUAAAGGAAAAUGGAUGUUAAAUGUUGGAUGAUUUUGUGAAGGAUUCUUUGUAUGAUACUUGAUUAGUUGCCUCGUAACACAUUAUGAAAAAAACAAACGUUUGAGAAAUACUUUCUGAAACGCUGAGAACGAUGAAACUCUGAUAUAUUGCAGAUAUUCAGAUUUUAUGAUCUUUUUUGCUUCUUUUUUUUUUGCAGCAAACCAACACUGCAGACAUGUUAGAAGAAGCUG